rnacentral:lncRNA from 1 species
GUUGGUAGAGGGGAAUGUCAGACAAGAUUUGCUAAGUUGUUGGUUAGGUGAAUUUGGUUGCUAAGCUAGGAUAUGGUAUAAUGUGCUUUGUGAUUAAGACUUCUUAGAUGUGGAUUGCAAAAUUGUAGAGGUAAUGAUUCUAAGUUUUAAAUCAUGUGAGUCCCUGCUGUUUUCAAACCUCUUUCAGAGAGAUGUGGGAACCGAAAUUCGCACUGUCGAUUUCCGUU